CCUACGGGCGGCUGCAGUGAGGAAUAUUGGUCAAUGGGCGAGAGCCUGAACCAGCCAAGUCGCGUGAAGGAUGAAGGAUCUAUGGUUUGUAAACUUCUUUUAUAUGGGAAUAAAGGGAGGAACGUGUUCCUUUUUGUAUGUACCAUAUGAAUAAGCAUCGGCUAACUCCGUGCCAGCAGCCGCGGUAAUACGGAGGAUGCGGGCGUUAUCCGGAUUUAUUGGGUUUAAAGGGUGCGUAGGUGGUGAAUUAAGUCAGCGGUGAAAGUUUGUGGCUCAACCAUAGAAUGGCCGUUGAAACUGGUUGACUUGAGUAUGUGUGAGGUAGGCGGAAUGCGUGGUGUAGCGGUGAAAUGCAUAGAUAUCACGCAGAACCCCGAUUGCGAAGGCAGCUUACUAAACUAUAACUGACGCUGAAGCACGAAAGCGUGGGGAUCGAACAGGAUUAGAUACCCGGGUAGUC
rnacentral:rRNA from 1 species